AUGAGGAAUAAAAAAAGACCUUGAUAUCCCACCCUUUGAGUUAUAGCUGUUAUGACAAUUGAGAGGGGGAGGGGUGGAAUGAGAGUGG